ensembl:lncRNA MIR3976HG MIR3976 host gene
UGAGUGUAAGCUGCUAUAUGAAGGGAUCCACAAGACGAAUAAUUAAGGGGGACCUCUGAUCAACAGCCAGCAAGGAACUGAAUCCCUCAGACCCACAACUCACAAGAAACUGAAGCUGAAGCAGAUUCUUCCUCAGUCAAGCUUCAGGUGCCCAGCUGUAUUGGUAGAGGAGACCAACCACACCCUCCACAGCACAGCACCUGGAGAGGAACUGCUGCCAUGACCAUAGAGGACACCCUCUGGAUACAAUGCCAGACUUGAUGUGGGACUGACCAACCUAUGGACCCCAGGCACCACCACCCAGACCUGCUCAGCACCUGAAACAUUCACAGCCGUGGAGAGAGAACUGUUCACUGCUACCAUCCACACUUCUGGGCCCCUUCAGCAGCAGGGUGACAAGGAAGAGGGAAAUCGACUUGGAAAAGAGGGGACCUCUGACCCAAGAGUUCGGUCAAUGCAUAUGUUGGCAGCCAGCUGCACAUCGCACCAAAUAUGAACUUCAAAUAGAAGAAAGCCUCAUUUGGAAGAAAGCUCAUGCACAGACUGUAAAUAUUUCAGAGCAGAUUGUGUCUCUGUAGAUUAAGGGAGUGGAGCAGGAGCCUGAGGUCAUAUGAGUUUGUAGCUCCUGUGUGGGACCACCACUUCACAAGCCAGGGAAAGGCAAUCAGCACCCCAGUGUUCUUAGCACGUCAUGCCCCGGUACAGCCUCCAUUCCACAAGUGGUGGGGCUGGGCAGAAGAAAAGAGCUCUUACUACUCAUUUCCACUGAUCUGGAACAUAGCUGCAGUAACAGAUAGCUGGGGCAAGAUGAGAAACACUGAAGUCCUGCUCCUCCUGGGAAUAAAGGCCUCUCUGACUAGAAGCUGGUGGGGCAAGGAAGCCCUGUGGUCUUGGCUGCAGCAGUCUGGAGUGGAGUCUCUGCUUUAUAGGGGGAAGAGUGGACAUCAAUUUUGCAGCAGCCAUGGCUUGUCCUAUGAGAGAUGAUUCUACCACAAGAACCCAACCACAAGGACGGCUCCUCUUUGAAGUUUUUACAGUCGAUCUCUGGAUCAGCCAGCGAAGUCCUGCUCCCAGGAUCCAGGGAGAGACCAUGGGUGCCCUCUAGGGCAUGGUACAAAGGGAGGAUUUGUUCCAGUAGAGAAUAGAAUAGGCCUUUUCUUUCACCUUUUGGUUUCCAGGUGCUGAACUACAUGUAGGAGUCUUGGUAGUAAAACCAAGCUUAAUGGUUAUUGAAAUAGAACUACCAGAGAGGUGGUAGAAGCACAUGUUUUGUACAAGUUGGUUAACUGCCAGCAGCUUUGAAUCGUGUAACUGCUUACAAAAAAUUUCACAUGGUCCAGGAAUAAGAGGAAACAAAUGUAUGAAAAACAAAUUCCCAGAUACUUACAUUUAAAAUAAAAAGCAAACUAACA